CCUACGGGAGGCAGCAGUAGGGAAUAUUGCUCAAUGGGGGAAACCCUGACGCAGCAACGCCGCGUGGAGGAUGAAGGUUUUCGGAUUGUAAACUCCUUUUGUUAGAGAAGAUAAUGACGGUAUCUAACGAAUAAGCACCGGCUAACUCCGUGCCAGCAGCCGCGGUAAUACGGAGGGUGCAAGCGUUACUCGGAAUCACUGGGCGUAAAGAGCGCGUAGGCGGGAUAGCAAGUCAGAUGUGAAAUCCUAUGGCUUAACCAUAGAACUGCAUUUGAAACUGUUAUUCUAGAGUAUGGGAGAGGUAGGUGGAAUUCUUGGUGUAGGGGUAAAAUCCGUAGAGAUCAAGAGGAAUACUCAUGGCGAAGGCGACCUGCUAGAACAUAACUGACGCUGAUGCGCGAAAGCGUGGGGAGCGAACAGGAGUAGAUACCCCAGUAGUC
rnacentral:rRNA from 1 species